rnacentral:rRNA from 1 species
UACAGAGGUCUCAAGCGUUGUUCGGAUUCAUUGGGCGUAAAGGGUGUGUAGGUGGCGCCGUAAGUCGGGUGUGAAAUUUCGGAGCUUAACUCCGAAACUGCAUUCGAUACUGCGGUGCUUGAGGACUGGAGAGGAGACUGGAAUUCAUGGUGUAGCAGUGAAAUGCGUAGAGAUCAUGAGGAAGACCAGUGGCGAAGGCGGGUCUCUGGGCCUAUACUGACGCUGAGGAGCGAAAGCGUGGGGAGCGAACAGG